UAUCUCUGUAGAGUCUGCAUAUCAAUAAGCGGAGGAAAAGAAACUAACAAGGAUUCCCCUAGUAACGGCGAGUGAAGCGGGAAGAGCUCAAAUUUGAAAUCUUCAAGGUUUGACCUUGACGAAUUGUAGUUUAAAGAAGUGUUUUCGGUUAGAGGAGUAGUAAAAGUUCUUUGGAAUAGGACAUCAUAGAGGGUGAGAAUCCCGUAUUUGACUAUUCUUUCUAGCUUUGUGAUACACUUUCAAAGAGUCGGAUUGUUUGGGAAUGCAGUCCAAAAUGGGUGGUAAAUUUCAUCUAAAGCUAAAUAUUGGCGAGAGACCGAUAGCGAACAAAUACCGUGAGGGAAAGAUGAAAAGAACUUUGAAAAGAGAGUUAAACAGUACGUGAAAUUGUCAAAAGGGAAGCGUUUGACACCAGUGUUGUUUUUUCCGAAAAUCAAUUAAAAAUUGAUUCAUGCCAGGUUGUAUUGACCUUAUCAGCUUGCAAUUUGGUUUUGGGUCUCUUUUUGAUGCACUUUUCGGUUAACAAGUCAACAUCAAUUUCCUUUGCUGUAAAAAGGUAAGAGGAAGGUGGCUUCAAUUUCGGUUGAAGUGUUUAUAGCCUUUUAUCUCUGCAGUCGGGGAGAUUGAGGUCUGCAGCGUAGAUCCUUCGGGGCUAGAUACAUUUAUGCUAAGUUAUAGCUUUUCAUAGACAACUUGUUGACUAUGUUUAGUCAUGUAGCUUACUCGUAAGUGCUAUUUUACCUACGCUUAGGAUGUUGAGCGCAUGUCUCUCUCU
rnacentral:rRNA from 1 species